ACGAAUCUAUAGGAAUCGGCCACAAAGGCUCGACACGCCACUUCGUCAGUUAGGCAUCGACCCAUAUACUAGGAUAAUACUUCUUUAACUAUCUCCUGUUUAAGGCCCUCAUGAAUUCUUCUUCUUCAAUAGUUUUCAGUAUGUACGCGCUCCCCAGUGCAUAUCGAUUAAUUCUAUACGGCCCUUCCCAAGUAGGCGACCACUUGCCGUAUUUUGGAUCCUUAGACCCUAUUGGCAAGAUUAAUUUCCACACCAGAUCCCCUUGGGAAAACCCCUUGACCUUGAUUCUCCUGUCAUAACGUCUGGUGACCCUUUUCUUGUUUUCCUCAAUCGUAGACCCGCCAAAUCAUCCAGCUCCCCAUUCAUGAGGAUCAAAUAGUCAUCGGCCGUUAAUUGAUAUUGAAGUGACGUACGCCUAGACCCAAUCCCCAACUCCCAAGGAAAUACUGC
rnacentral:lncRNA from 1 species